rnacentral:miRNA from 1 species
GGUCAGCUGACACAUCCCUGCCAAUCUCCGGCAGACCGUCCCUCCCAGACCCUCCUACUUCCUGGACAGCAUCCAUGUUGAAGGCACCUUCAACAUGGAUGCUGUCCAGGAGGUGGGAGGGUAUGGGAGGGAGGGUCUGCCGGAGAUUGGCAGGGAUGUGUCAGCUG